CGAAUGUAGGAGCAAACGAGGGGAACUGAAACAUCUAAGUACCCUUAGGAGAAGAGAACAAAAGUGAUUCCCUUAGUAGUGGCGAUCGAACGGGGACGAGCCCAAACCAUCCUUGUUUCGGCAAGGGUGGGGUUGUAGGACUACGAUAUGUUACAGGCGGUAAUGAAAAGAAGCGAGUUGGAAAGCUCCACCAUAGAGGGUGAUAGUCCCGUACUUGAAGUGAAGGCUUGGCUAGUAGUAUCCUGAGUAGCGCGGGACACGUGAAAUCCUGUGUGAAUCUGGGGGGUCCAUCCCCCAAGGCUAAAUACUCCUUAGAGACCGAUAGUGAACGAGUACUGUGAAGGAAAGGUGAAAAGUACCUCGCGUAGAGGAUUGAAAUAGACCCUGAACCCGUCUGCUUACAAGCGGUUGGAGCCCUUUAUGGGGUGACAGCGUGCCUUUUGCAUAAUGAACCUACGAGUUACUAUGUAUAGCUAGGGUAAGAGCUUCAGGCUUGGAUCCGUAGCGAAAGCGAGUUUUAAAUGGCGAUUUAGUUAUAUAUAGUAGACGCGAAACCAAGUGAUCUACCCUUGACCAGGUUGAAGUUCAGGUAACACUGCAUGGAGGACCGAACGGUAGAAUGUUGAAAAAUUCUCCGAUGAGUUGAGGGUAGGGGUGAAAGGCUAAUCAAACUUGGAAAUAGCUCGUACUCCCCGAAAUGCAUUUAGGUGCAGCCUUAGAGUUUAAAUAUAAGAGGUAGAGCGACUGAUUGGAUGCGAGGGCUUCGCCGCCUAUCAAGUCCAGACAAACUCCGAAUGCUUAUAUGAACACUCUAGGAGUGAGGGCAUGGGUGCUAAGGUCCAUGUCCGAAAGGAGAAGAAUCCGGACCAUCUGCUAAGGUCCCGAAAUGACAGCUCAGUUGACUUAAACGCGGUCACGAUGCAUAGACAGCUAGGAUGUUGGCUUGGAAGCAGCCAUUCAUUUAAAGAGUGCGUAACAGCUCACUAGUCGAGGAUUGUGGCAUGGAUAAUAAUCGGGCAUAAGUUGUCUACCGAAGCAGUGGGAUUAGUUUUACUAAUCGGUAGGGGAGCAUUCCAGCGAGGUUGAAGGUACAUCGACGAGGUGUGCUGGACUUUCUGGAAGUGCAAAUGUAGGUAUAAGUAACGAUAAAGAGAGUGAGAAUCUCUCUCGCCGAAAGACUAAGGUUUCCUCCUCACCGUUCGUCGGAGGAGGGUUAGUCGGGACCUAAGGGUAAUCCGUAUGGAGAUCUCGAUGGACGAAAGGGUUAAUAUUCCCUUACUCGGUGUGUUAAGUGAUGUGGAGACGGAGAAGUGACAGUCCUGCCUACUGUUGGAAUAGUAGGUUAAAGGGUGUAGACGUUGAUUAUGGUAGGCAAAUCCGCCGUAAGAGUCGAACCUGAUAGUAUGUGAAUCCUUCGGGUGCAGCAAUAUGGGCGUAAACAGGCUCCCAAGAAAAUCCGCUAAACGUUUUAAUGACACAUUGACCCGUACCACAAACCGACACAGGUAGUUGGGUUGAGUAUACUAAGGCGCUCGAGUUAGCCGCGGUUAAGGAACUAGGCAAAUUGGUCCUGUAACUUCGGGAUAAAGGACGCCGUUGGAGUGAUUCAACGGCCGCAGAGAAUAGGCCCAAGCGACUGUUUAUCAAAAACACAUGGCUAUGCUAAUAAGAAAUUAGAUGUAUAUAGCCUGACACCUGCCCGGUGCUGGAAGGUUAAGAGGAGAGGUCAUACGCAAGUAGAAGCCUUGAAUUGAAGCCCCAGUAAACGGCGGCCGUAACUAUAACGGUCCUAAGGUAGCGAAAUUCCUUGUCGGGUAAGUUCCGACCUGCACGAAUGGUGUAACGAUUUGGGCACUGUCUCGACCGCGCGCUCGGUGAAAUUGUAGUAUCGGUGAAGAUGCCGAUUACCCGCAAUGGGACGAAAAGACCCCGUGAACCUUUACUAUAGCUUUACAUUGCCUCUGGGUAUUAGAUGUGUAGGAUAGGCCGGAGACUUAGAAGGAGGCACGCCAGUGUUUCUGGAGUCGCUGUUGAAAUACGGCCCUUUUGGUAUUUGGAUGCUAACUCGACAA
rnacentral:rRNA from 1 species